rnacentral:rRNA from 1 species
AUUGAACGCUGGCGGCAGGCCUAACACAUGCAAGUCGAGCGGCAGCGGGAAAGUAGCUCGCUACCUUUGCCGGCGAGCGGCGGACGGGUGAGUAAUGCCUGGGAAAUUGCCCAGUCGAGGGGGAUAACAGUUGGAAACGACUGCUAAUACCGCAUACGCCCUACGGGGGAAAGCAGGGGACCUACGGCCCUUGCGCGAUCUGAUAUGCCGAGGUGGGAUUAGCUAGUUGGUGAGGUAAUGGCUCACCAAGGCGACGAUCCCUUGCUGGUCUGAGAGGAUGAUCAGCCACACUGGAACUGAGACACGGUCCAGACUCCUACGGGAGGCAGCAGUGGGGAAUAUUGCACAAUGGGGAAAACCCUAAUGCAGCCAUGCCGCGUGUGUGAAGAAGGCCUUCGGGUUGUAAAGCACUUUCAGCGAGGAGGAAAGGUUGAUGCCUAAUACGUAUCAACUGUGACGUUACUCGCAGAAGAAGCACCGGCUAACUCCGUGCCAGCAGCCGCCGUAACAC